GCUCCCAUGGCGUAGUGGUCACUGCACUCGACUUGCACGCGGGAGACCCGGGUUCGAUUCCCGGCGGGGUCA
rfam:Asian citrus Psyllid, Diaphorina citri - Florida Strain, whole genome shotgun sequence.